rnacentral:tRNA from 1 species
GGCCGAGUGGCGGAAUGGCAGACGCUGGGGAUUUAAAAUCCCCUGAGCAUAACGCUCGUGCGGGUUCGAGUCCCGCCUUGGCUA